CGCCUCCGCUGCCGCUUCCCAGCAACUCGCCCCGCCCCCGUUGCUAGGAGCCGGCCCCGCCGCCGUGUCUGUGUGUAGAGGGGCCACGUGCGGCUGGGCCAGCUCCUGAGCAGAGCCAGGGCCUGGGGUGCGGCGUCGUCACCAGUGAUCUGGGUUUUCCGUUCGUCACGGAAAAACAGAUUUUCUCCUUUUCAAAGAGGAAAAUGUAGAUUUUCUCUUUUAAAGGAGAAAAGUACAAAUCUUUCUCCUGUAAAGGAGAAAAAACAUGGGGCAUGGCAGGUUUGCCCUUGCGGGCUGGCGGAGCGCAGGGUCGGGGCAGCGGGCGGGGGGCGGUCAGCCAGGGCAUGCCCCGUGCCUGGUUGUGUGCACCCAACACAUGGCCGCCAGGCAACCUGGAGAGCAGCUGGCACAACUCCCUCCGGAUGAAAGCAAAAGAACCGAAAUAAAGUAGAGGGUUCACAUCGCCCCACCGGAGACAGAUUUUGCUGAAUCUAUGCACACACUGCCCUGAGGAUGGUGAGAUGGGAAGUGAUUGCUGCAGUUGGUGACCACUUGACUGGAUAAACCUGUCCUCUUUAAGUUCAUUAUCUCGGCCCCGCUGUUCUGCUCUCUCAAUCCCUUAUCUCACCAACAGGAUAUUCAGUUGUCAUCUAAACUUAUUUCUACUCCUUGCAUCAGGGGCCUUAGGCAAUUUAUGCCAUAUGUGCCCUGCUUUGCAUAGAAGCAACAACCUGUCUCUUUGUUGAAUAUUAUUUUCCUUAUUUUUAGAAUGCAGGUGGUUACGGAAAACCCUUCUAUUCCAGUUCUGCCUUAUGUAAACCUAUUUGUAAUGCCAAAGACACAUGGGAGGUCACCUUGAAUUUGCUCUGCUUCCUCACAUUUAAAAAAAGAUCAGAACCUCAAUAGUUUUUUUUUAUAUAGUGCAGUCAGCAUGAAUGCUCCCAUUGAGGUCAGCUGUGGAGUACUAACACCCAUGUGUUUCCAGAUAUCAGGUCCAGAAGUGCUUGUAACGCUUGUGACACCAUUGUCUAGUCCACAAACUGCCUAAGGAAACAGUGUUGCACAGUGCUAUAUCUGGAUAAACAUUCUCCUUGGGUUUGAUGCAGUUGUUAUUUAAAUCAUUAGCACUAAUUUAAAUCCCUUAUGAUCAAUAGCCAGGCCUUUUAGUUUCACAGGCUUCCUUACCGGUGUGGUUUUUGAUCCGUCUCCUUGAAGUACUUUGGCAGCAACAGUUAUCAAUUGCACUUCUGUCUCUAAAGACAUUUCCUAUAAUUCCUUGUCCAGGUUCAGGCCCUACCUGCUAAAUACAAGUAGGUGCCUUGGUACAAGUGACCUGCAAAACUAACAGUGUUUUGUGCUCUGUUUUGCUUCUGGGGGAUGUUAUAAAGCAGGACUGUCCAACUGGCAGUCCACGAGGAGUUAGUCUGUAUUCCCUAGACUGCCACUUGGCCCCCACACUCCUUAUCAUUGGCAGCAGUGGCAGCUGGGGUAUCUGGGCAUUACCUCUGGCUUCUGCUUCCUUUGCCUGCCUGAAUGACAGUGUAGUGGUUGGGUGGAGGGAGGGCACUUGUUUGCUGGUACACAUAGUAUAGCAGUGAGGAGGGAGCCUGCACACAUGUAUAGUGUAGCAGGGAAGAGGGCUGCCCAUGUGUGCAGUGCAGGGAGGGGUGGGAGUGUAGUGCACAAACAGCAGCUGCAGCCCGGGGGGCCUGUGACUUACAUUAUUGUGGCCUACUUGGGUGCGAGGCCCCUGCCAGUGCUGCCUAUGUAGGGUGCGGCCCCAGCCACUUAGAAGUUACACAGCCCUGUUAUAAAAAAUGUAAAACCUUUUCUUUUCCUCAUUUUUUUAACCUUAAAAGUAAAAGUAACAUCAACUCCUGAUUUGCCUGGAGUUGAAUAUGAUAGGUGCUAGCAUAAGUGACACAAAGGAGGUUUUAGACAGCUGGAAUAAAAAUCACCCUUCCUCUCAUUUAACAAACACUCAUUUUCUUUGGGUCACACAGGGCCAUAUAGUAGGAACAGAAACCAUAGGUUCUGAUUUCAAGAGUAAAAUUUCCCCAAAAUGCCUAUGAAACUUUCUCUAAUUCCUCUUUUCAAAAUAUUAGGUACUUAGGAGCCUAAAGUCAAUCAGCUCCUCUGUCACAAGAUAAGUGACCAGACACAAGACAUGGGCUCUUAAAGUUACUUCCGUACAUUUGAAAAACUGCCACCUUUUAAAAAAACGAAUCUUUUUAAAUUGAAAUGAGAACAGGGUCAAAGACAAUUCCUUUGUUAGCUGAGAGUCAGCAAUUGCCACAACUGACACUAAGAUGCUUCUAGAGGGAGCUUUCUGAGCACGGAAACUCGCAUGCUUUACUAUACAGAUCUUCCUUCAUUCCCAUUCAGGCAUUUUGUUUCUGCAGAAAUAUUAAGAUAGGAACUGCUGGUUCUCAGAGGGCUCGCCCUUUUUCUCCUUAACACAGCCAUUGAGCACUUCAGUAAUGCCCUCACUUACUCCAUAAGAGGACCCCAGGUAUCAAAUAGAGGGCGGUGUGGUUGGCUAGCAAUAGGAGCAACUUGCAUGAUACUUCUCAUCAGUGAUCACUACUGGCAACCCAAAGUCUUGGGAGAUUUGAGAGGAUUUCAUAGUCAUCACAGACGCAGCAAAUAGAAAUGGAAAUUCCAUUACAAAUGGCAAGACUCAGACACUGAGCCUUUCUUUGAGUUCCACUCAUCAGUCACCUUUUUUUUUGAUCUUUUGAAAUUCUUCUCCUAUAAUGGACACUACCAUGUUUUCUCUGCAAAAAUUUGCAAGAAGAUCAAUUUAAUGCCAUAUUAUUUUACACAUUUGAUCAUCAUAGGAGUCUUUUGAUCCUUUGCCUUCUUGCUGUUUUUGGAGGGUGUGUUUUGAUUGCCUAAAAGUAAAAACAUUAAUUUUCCAGGCCUUAUAUGACAUUCCUCCCUCUCUGCGCACAAACUCUUUUUUACUUUUCCUAUUUCAGCAGUAAAUUUCACUUCAAUAGUAUCUGAAGUUCUCAAAGCAUUUUCCAGAGAGGUGCACCUAUAUGUUUUAAGCAGAGGGGCACAAAAGAAAUCUGAACCAACAUUUUUAAAGUAGUCCUUUGCUUUGGGAAAGGAGAGGGCCUGAGGAUUCCCAAGGCAUCUGGGAUCAAAGUACCCACAUACCCCAUUGGCUUUCAGUGCAAGUACAAAACCUCUGCAGCAUGACACUUAAAAUCCAAGCAACACAGACACAAACACUGGUUUGAGAAUGGGGGCAAGGUCACAGCAUGAGUCAGUGGCAGGGCUGGGAUAGAAUCCAGAUCUGGCACAGCCACACAAUGUGUCAUCUCUUUGGAAUAUAAGCUUUCAAAACAGCAGUGGGAAUGAAGAGUUUAGGAUGAUUCCUUAAUCAUCUGAGAAUCCCUGCUGGGACCUGAGUUUUCUCUUUUCACAGGGAGAGAUGAAUAUAUGGUGAAUCAUUUUGAAAGGCUGAUGUGUAGAAUGAUUUUGUUGCCCUUGAGCCUAAAACUAAUUGUAAAGUAGUGACACCUGCUGGCCAGUGCUGUUGGCACUUUACCCAUGUACGGGUGAACUAUUUCUACGGCUCCAUCAGAAAAUAAAUAGAGCCAGACAGAUAAAAAUCUAUAUAAAUGGCAUCUCGCCCACAUCAGGCCUCCUGACACACAUGCAUAAUGGAAGCUGGCGUCUUUGGUUCUAUUGUCAUCUAAGUGAUAUUUUAAUGUUUGAAGAUUAGGUAGGCUUUUUAAACAGGCUUUUAAUGCACAAGACCGUUCUCCUCUCUAAUAGCACUAGCUUUUAUGUUUGCAUGCUACAGGUUUAUUUAAUCUGUUUUUAACCCAUUUUAUCCAUUGUUGCAGAAUCAUGUUCAUACAUGCAAACUGUAUGGCUAAGAACCGGUUAGCAACCAUAAGGACCCUUUGCAAAAGAGAUUGUUUUGUUAAAUGUUUGUAGUUAGCUUGCUAUCACAACUCAGUUUCCUUGCUUCUCUCUGGGAAGUGUAUGAGGAUUCUAAGCAUCAAGUUUGGAGAAAGCAAAAAUUCACAUUGUUAAAUCUCAGCCCUUUGUACCCCAAAGAAAAGAGGUCACGUCCUAGGUCUUCUACAGGAGCUAGUUAGAAAACACAACCUCCUCCUUGUCAUGCGUGAUGGGUUACCCAGCACCUUUGUAAAAGUGUUCCUUAAUGCCCUGGUUUCUCAUUCUGUUUCUGUUCGCUUGCUAAUUGCUACCCUCCUCCCCCAGAAAUGGCUGUAUUUUGGCAUUGCUCUGUUCAAAUGGCUUGGGAUAGAAGGUCCUAAAUAAAUACUAAUGAAUUAGU